UUNNAAGCUCGUAGUUGAACCUUGGGCCUGACCGAUCUGUCCUCCUAGUCGAGCGCACGGAUUCGGUUGGGCCUUUCCUUCUGGGGAUCCCUAUGCCCUUCACUGGGCGUAGUGGGGAACCAGGACUUUUACCUUGAAAAAAUUAGAGUGUUCAAAGCAGGCAUUUGCUCGAAUACAUUAGCAUGGAAUAAUAGAAUAGGACAUCGGUUCUAUUUUGGUGGUUUCUAGGACCGCUGUGAUGAUUAAUAGGGAUAGUCGGGGG
rnacentral:rRNA from 1 species